rnacentral:lncRNA from 1 species
UUGAGCAUUGUUCUUAAUUAGAUUUUGUGAUUCAGAUUUGUGCAUGAUGAAGACACAAGCAAGCGAACCCGUCAUUCCAUCUCAAAGUGAUAAUGAUAAAGGGUAUCCACUACACCAACCACCACACCAACCACAACCACCACACCAUUCCCCACCCCACCAAGCACCACCACCACACCACCACCACCAUCGACACCACCCACGUCACUCGCCACCACCACACCAAGCACCACCACCACACAUAGCACAACCACAAUUCCGUCGAGCACCACCUCCACCUUAUUGAGUCAUCUUUUUCUUCGGAUGCAAUUUGUCAUCUUUUUACUCUUAUGUAUUCUUAGUUCUUAAUAAAGUAUGAUUAUUUUGUUUCAUGUCUCAUGAUGUUCCUAUAUUAUAUCACAUCUUCGGAGACAAAUGGGUUACAAAACUAAAAUAAAGAAAAAAAAUUGGUUAGUUUUUAAAAAAAUACUCACUACAAAUGUGUAAUUAAUUGAUCUCAAUAUAUAUAUAUAUAUAUAUAUAUAUAUAUAUAUAUAUUAAUUACAGAAAAGAAAAAUAAUUUUGAAAUAUUUGAAGAAAACUGAGAUCAUGAAAAACACAAACUAUACAAUAAAAAUAAAACUAUAAAAACUAAUCAAACUAAGAAAGUACACUAAGAGAUAAAAAAAGAAAUAUAGAAAAAAGAAGACAACAAAAACCUAGAAAAGUAAUUUAAAUAACAUAUUAGAAUUAUUAAAAUAAAUUAUUCAAACGGUACAAGAGUAUUAUUAAACUAAAAAUCACAAUUGAUAUGAAAAGAAAAACAUGAAGUAUUGCAUUAAUUUGUCAAACUAAUAAAAUAAAAUAAAUAAUUUUAUGUCUAAACCUUAUCAUUUUAAGAAAUUUGAUACACCUUUAUUUUUUCCAACUUUCUUUAACCAUUUACACUUGUUAUGACCUCUGUAUGUCUUGGUCAAAUGUUAUUUAAAACAUUGGACAUAUGUCUAAUUAUCAAGAAUUGUGAUAGAAAACUGACAAAAACUAACAAAAAGACAUUGCACUAAAGACAAAUAAGAUAUAAUCAAUGAAAGUCUUUAUAUUAAACAAGUUUGGUUGUCAUUAAUAUAUAAUAAAAUACCAACAUUAAUUAAUCAAGAACAACUCAAUAAUUAAUUGGAUAAUUCCAAUAUUUUUUUUACAAUAUUUUAACAUCAUUUAUGUGUAAUUAUGUGAUUAAUCCAUAGUGGUGUUUAUAAUUAUUAUUAUUAUUGAUUAUGGAGUAAUUUUGGAUCAAUCAGAAAAUGACAUAAUGUUAAAAUAUUGUUAAAAAAAUAUUAUCAAAGUAUCAUUUUCCUAAUUUAAAUUAGACAAAACUCGAAGUAUAAAAUAUGCAAAAUUGCUCAUUUUUACAUUACAUAUUUUGAUUUCUUAUGAAAUCAUAUCGUUAACAUUGCUUUUGUGGACAAUUUGAGUUACUUUUUUAUUUGGAAAAUUGGUUGAGCAUUGUUCUUAAUUAGAUUUUGUGAUUCAGAUUUGUGCAUGAUGAAGACACAAGCAAGCGAACCGGUUAUUCCAUCUCAAAGUGAUAAUGAUAAAGGGUACCCACUACACCAACCACCACACCAACCACAACCACCACACCAUUCCCCACCCCACCAAGCACCACCACCACACCACCACCACCAUCGACACCACCCACGUCACUCGCCACCACCACACCAAGCACCACCACCACACAUAGCACAACCACAAUUCCGUCGAGCACCAGAUUUUGUUAUCCCUCCAAGCAUUUGAUUCUUUUAACGUCCAUAUUUUUUAUAAUUUGUAGUCAAUUCAUUGUUCUUUCUAUUAUUUGUCAUCUAAAAUUAUACUACUUAGAAUAAAAAUCUUNUGAUGAACAUAUUUUGCAAUUUUCACUUAGAAUAAAAAUCUUAAGAUGAACAUAUUUUGAAAUUUUCAUAUCUCCAAGCAUUUGAUUCUUUUAACGUCCAUAUUUUUUAUAAUUUGUAGUCAAUUCAUUGUUCUUUCUAUUAUUUGUCAUCUAAAAUUAUACUACUUCGAAUAAAAAUCUUGUGAUGAACAUAUUUUGCAAUUUUCACUUAGAAUAAAAAUCUUAAGAUGAACAUAUUUUGCAAUUAUCAUAUAAAACGUUGUUCUGAUACCAUAUAACGUGGCAUCCUAAUUACAUUGUUUUAUAUUUAAUAAAUUGUUAAUUUUUUUUCAAUUAUAGUAAAAAGUUUUGUAGUACCAAUUCAAUGGUUCAACUUAUAAAUUAUAUAUUUUCUAAAAUAAAGUAUAACAUUUUAAUUACUCAAAAAAAAUAUUUUACAGUGUUAUUAUUUAUUUAUUUAUUAUCAAUUCCUAGUCAUAAUUAAAUAUUAGUACUUAUUUGUUUGCAUUUAUACAAAUGAAACAUGAUUUUUUUAGUAGGAUUAAAACUUUAUUAUUAUAUUUUCACAGGAUUAAAACUUAUUUUUUUGCAUUUAGUAAUUAAAAUUAUGUUAAGUUUAUUUGAGGUUUCAACUGCAUUUUACAAUUAAGAUUGAAGAAAAAAUCUACACAAACAACUCAAGCGUUUUCAUGAAAUAGGUUCGAAAUGUCAAAUAAACUUGACCAAAUUUGGUUAAAAUGACUAAAUCCACAAAUUUCUAAAGUAGAGAAACUAAAUUGGGUCAAAGUUUCGAAAAUGGACUAAUUCCAAUUUUUAGUGAAAAUUAAGAGACCAAAAACAUAUUUAACCCUUAUUUUAAUAAUUAUUUAUAAACUGAUUGAGUGUGGGUAUUCUACUAUCNCUAUCCAUAGAUAUUCGAUACUCGUAAAAAUAAAUUAAAAAUUUUAUUUAUAUUUUAUUAAGUUAUAUAUAAUUAAAAUUAAAAAAAAUAAUUUAUUAAGUUAAAUUUAAUUAAAAUUAAAUUUUAAUUUAUAUUUAAUUCAAUUUAUAUUUUAUANUAACAAAUAAGAAUAAAUUAGAUUCAUCACCCUCAUACUAAUAUAUUAUUUCAUUUUUUCCCAAUUUAUUUUUCUCACUAAUCUCAAAUUAAUGUAAACUACAAUAGACCUAUUAUUAAUCAUUUUCUUUUAAUGAAUAUUAAUUGCUCACACUUCAUAAUUAAUUAACAAAAGUACAAAGCAUUAAAAUUUCAUUGAAUGCCUAAGUUAAUACAUUUAUUCUCUAAAAAGAGAUAUUGAUGGUUUUUUGUCUUUUACUUGAAAUUGCUUUCACCAUUUGAGUAUAUAUAGGUUAAUAGUUGUGGUUAAAUAACAUCUUCAGUGAACAACAUGGGUUUUUCAAACUGUUCUCUUGUCAAUAUGGCGUUCUUAUUAGCUCUUUUCAUCAUGACUUCAGGUUAAUGAUGUUCAAUUCACUCUCUUUUUAGUUUCUCAAUUCAAAUGACCAAUUUUCUUUUACAUUACAUAUUUUGAUUUCUUAUGAAAUCAUAUCGUUGACAUUGCUUUUGUGGACAAUUUGAAUUACUUUUUUAUUUGGAAAAUUGGUUGAGCAUUGUUCUUAAUUAGAUUUUGUGAUUCAGAUUUGUGCAUGAUGAAGACACAAGCAAGGGAACCCAUUAUUCCAUCUCAAAGUGAUAAUGAUAAAGGGUACUCACUACAUCAACCACCACACCAACCACAACCACCACACCAUUCCCCACCCCACCAAGUCCCACCACCACACCACCACCACCAUCGACACCACCCACGUCAUUCGCCACCACCACACCAAGCACCACCACCACACAUAGCACAACCACAAUUCCGUCGAGCACCACCUCCACCUUUCUGAGUCAUCUUUUUCUUCGGAUGCAAUUUGUCAUCUUCUUACUCUUAUGUAUUCUUAGUUCUUAAUAAAGUAUGAUUAUUUUGUUUCAUGUCUCAUUAUGUUCCUAUAUUAUAUCACAUCUUCGGAGACAAAUUGGUUACAAAACUAAAAUAAAGGAAAAAAAUUGGUUAGUUUUUAAAAAAAUCCUCACUUAAAGUGUGUAAUUAAUUGAUCUCAAUUUAUAUAUAUUAAUUAUAGAAAAGAAAAAUAAUUUUGAAAUAUUUGGAAAAAACUGAGAUGAUGAAAAACACAAACUAUACAAGAAAAAUAAACUAUAAAAACUAAUCAAACUAAGAAAGUACACUAAGAGAUAAAAAAAUAAAGAUAGAAAAAAGAAGACAACAAAAACCUAGAAAAGUAAUUUAAAUAACAUAUUAGAAUUAUUAAAAUAAAUUAUUCAAACGGUACAAGAGUAUUAUUAAACUAAAAAUCACAAUUGAUAUGAAAAGAAAAACAUGAAGUAUUGCACUAAUUUGUCAAACUAAUAAAAUAAAAUAAAUAAUUUUGUGUCUAACGUUAUCAUUUUAAGAAAUUUAAUACACCUUUAUUUUUUCCAACUUUCUUUAACCAUUUACACAUGAUCUCUAUAUGUCUUGGUCAAAUGUUAUUUAAAACAUUGGACAUAUGUCUAAUUAUCAAGAAUUGUGAUAGAAAACUCACAAAACUAACAAAAAGACAUUACACUAAAGACAAAUUAGAUAUAAUCAAUGAAAGUCNUUAUAUUAAACAAGUUUGGUUGUCACUACUAUAUAAUAAAAGCCAACAUUAAUUAAUCAAGAACAACUCAAUAAUUAAUUGGAUAAUACCAACAUUUUUUUACAAUAUUUUAACAUCAUUUAUGUGUAAUUAUGGGAUUAAUCCAUAGUGGUGUUUAUAAUUAUUAUUAUUGAAUAAGGAAUAAUUUUAGAUCAAUCAGAAAAUGACAUAAUGUUAAAAUAUUGUUAAAAAAAUAUUAUCAAAGUAUCAUUUUCCUAAUUUAAAUUAGACAAAACUCGAAGUAUAAAAUAUGCAAAAUUGCUCAUUGAUUACUAACAUGUCACCCUCCAUAUUCAGAUACACAUUGACUUGAUAUAUCGUGACUAUAUUUUAUAAAGUGGCAUUUCUUCUAAGUUUAUGAUUUUAGUUUUGUUAAUUGUAUUUGUAAUUUAGCAACGAUUUAUCAACAAAUAUAUGAACACUAUAAUUACAUUAUAUAAUUUUGAAAUUGUUGUGAAAAUGAAUUCUUUAAUUAUUAAAAUUUAUUAUAUCUAUUAAAUUGGUAGUAUGAUUAUCUUUAUUUUAGGAGAGUAUCACAUUCAUUUUAAGCUAAUAAUUUAUAUUUUUAAACGUAUGCUAUAAACUUUAAGUUCUAUUAUGUAUUAGAAAUGAUUUAAUUAAUAGCUUCAAUUUUGUUUUAUUUGCACUAUCUUAAUAAAUUAUAUUCAUUUCAUAUUUCUUAAGAAAUGUGAUAAAUAUGUUAUUUAAAGUAGGGUCACUUGAUACAUAAACAAAAUUUAAACUAAUUGUUUUAGGUAUUGGGUUGAAGUCUCUUACUAAAAGCAAUACAAGUUGUUUUGAAGACCGGACAGAUUUUCUAAUUAUUUUUAAGUUUUGUUUUUCGUUUUUCCUUUUUUUUAUAGUGAGUACCUAUUAAAAGCACUCUGAUUUUCAAGUUGAAAAGGAUUCUACAUUACACUAAUAUUGUAACAUUUUUUUAAAUGGUUGUAUUUUUAAAUUUUUCACAUUUGAAUCAAUAUUUAUUUAUUAUUAUGCUGAAGUAUUUUAAAUCUAAUUAAAAAUAUGUAUUGUGUUAACGUAUCAUUGUCUUUAGAUUUUGUUAUCCCUCCAAGCAUUUUAUUCUUUUAACGUCCAUAUUUUUUAUAAUUUGUAGUCAAUUCAUUGUUCUUUCUAUUAUUUGUCAUCUAAAAUUAUACUACUUAGAAUAAAAAUCUUGUGAUGAACAUAUUUUUGAAUUUUCACUUAAAAUAAAAAUCUUAAGAUAAAUGAACAUAUUUUGCAAUUUUCACAUAAAACGUUGUUCUGAUACCAUCUAUCGUGGCAUCCUAAUUACAUUGUUUUAUAUUUAAUAAAUUAUGUUAAUUUUUUUUCAGUUAUAGUAAAAAAAUUUGUAGUACCAAUUCAAUGGUUCAACUUAUAAAUUAUAUAUUUUCUAAAAUAAAGUAUAACAUUUUAAUUACUCAUAAAACAUAUUAUACAGUUUUAUUAUUUACUUAUUUUUUUAUUAUCAGUUCCUAGUCAAAAAUAAACAUUAGUACUUAUUUCCUUGCAUUUAUACACAUGUAAAAAUGAUUUUUUAGUAGAUUAAAACUUUAUUAUUAUAUUUUCACAGGUAUAUAUAUAUAUAUAUAUAUAUAUAUAUAUAUAUAUAUAUUAUGUCACCUUUUAAAAUAUACUAAAAAUUUACCAUAUUUUAGUUGGUAAAAUUGCUUUCAUGUAUUCUAAAUUCUAAAUUUUAAGAUUAAAAGUAUUUAAAUAAUUUCUUAAUUUUUUAUACUUUUAUUUUAAAUUAAAAUAAAAAUUAUUAAAAUAUCUUUCUAUUUAAAGUAUUUCUUUUUAUUGAAUAAUUUUUUUUAUCAAUUAAAAUUUAAUACAUUUUAAAUAUUACAGAAAUUAACAAAUCCAUAUAUAUAUAUAUCUUUAUUAACUUAUGUAACUUCUUAAAUUAUAACAAAUUUUAAUUCACAAAAAUAUCUUUAUUCAUUAAAAAAACAUACUUUAAAAAAAAUGUAUAUUUUAAGAGAUUAUAUAAAUUAACAAAUUAUAUAUAUAUAUAUAUAUAUAUAUAUAUAUAUAUAUUAUUUUUUUCUUUUUAUUAUUUUAUUUUAGGAUUAAAUAUGUUUUUGCAUAAAUUAGUUCUUAUUUUAAGUUUUUAAAAUAUUUUAAAAAUUCAAUGUAUAUAGUCUUUUUAUUUUAAUGAGGAUAAUGUUUUUAGAUUUGUUAAAUCCUGUCAAGUUAAACUGUCCUCGUAAAAUACCUCUGAUUCAUAAAAAAAUUUAAUAUGUUUAUAUUAGAGAAACUACAUUCAUACUUAGAAUCAAAAUAUAAAAAAAAUUGAGACAAAAGUAAAUUCUAAUUUCAACUUUUAAUGAUACUAAAUUAUUGUAAAAAAUUGUGUAAUAUAUAAUAAUUUGAGAAGUAAAUUAUAAUUUCACACUUUAAUGAUUGUAAAUCAUUAUAAAAAUUGUGUAAGCUGUGAUCUUUAUUUUUUUAUCAUAUAACAUUUUCAAAAGUCUUCGUUUAUGCGACUGAUAUUUUUUGAAAAUACCAUAGAGGGAAGAUGAAAAUUGUAUUCUAGCGAAUUUUAAGUUAUGAGAAAGAAGAGACAGGAUAAGUACAUCAAAUUGGGAAAAAUGAAAAAUUACAAAAGGAAGAGAAAUUAAAAAAUGGAGUAUAUAAAAGAGAGAAUACCAAAAUAGAAUACAAUAUUUAAUUUAUAAUUAAUUAAUAAAAAUAUAAAACAUAAUUAAUAAAGUAUACCUACAUCUAAGGAUGAUAAAAAUAUUUAUGUAUGUAUGUAAGUAUUUAUUAUCUACGAGAAUAACCGUUAUUUCAAGGAUUAAAUAUGUCUGUGGUUUUUUAAUUUUUAUUAAAAAUUUAAAUUAGUUAUUUUUUGAAAUUUUGGACUAAUUUAACGAAAUUAUUUUCUUUAAUUUUGCCUUCCCUUCCCCACACACACUUCAGAAUUAAUUAACAAAAGUACAAAGUAUUAAAAUUUCAAUAAAUGCCUAAGUUAAUACAUUUAUUCUCUAAAAAGAGAUAUGGAUGGUUUUUUGUCUUUUAUUUGAAAUUGUUUUCAUCAUUUGAGUAUAUAUAGGUUAAUAGUUGUGGUUGAAUAACAUGUUCAGUGAACAACAUGGGUUCUUCAAAAUGUUCUCUUGUUAAUAUGACAUUUUUAUUAGCUCUUUUCAUCAUGACUUCAGGUUAUCAAUGAUAUUCUAUUCACUCUCUUUUUAGUUUCUCAAUUCAAAUGGACCAUUUUCUUUUACAUUACAUAUUUUGAUCUCUUAUGAAAUCAAAUCGUUGACAUUGCUUUUGUGGACAAUUAGAAUUACUUUUUUAUUUAAAAAAUUGGUUGGGCAUUGUUCUUAAUUAGAUUUUGUGAUGCAGAUUUAUGCGUGAUGGAAACACAAGCAAGAGAACCCAUUAUUCCAUCUCAAAGUGAUAAUGAUAAAGGGUACCCACCACACCAUUCCCCACACCACCAAGCCCCACCACCACACCACCACCACCAUCGACACCACCCACGUCAUUCACCACCACCACACCAAGCACCACCACCACACAAUGCCCCACCUACACCACCACAUUACUGAGUCGUC